GUGCCAGCAGCCGCGGUAAUACGGAGGGAGCUAGCGUUAAUCGGAAUUACUGGGCGUAAAGCGUACGUAGGCGGACUUGUAGGCAUCUUGUGAAAUCCCUCGGCUCAACCGGGGAAUUGCAGGGUGAACCACAAGUCUUGAGGCGAGUAGAGGCGGUCGGAACGAUAGGUGGAGCGGUGAAAUGCGUAGAUAUCUAUCGGAACGCCAAAGGUGAAGACAGGCCGCUGGGCUCGUCCUGACGCUGAGGUACGAAAGCAUGGGUAGCGAACGGGAUUAGAUACCCCCGUAGUCCC
rnacentral:rRNA from 1 species